rnacentral:rRNA from 1 species
UGAUACUAAGCCAUGCGAGUCAUUGUAGCAAUACAAGGCAGACGGCUCAGUAACGCGUAGUCAACCUACCCUAUGGACGGGAAUAACCUCGGGAAACUGAGAAUAAUGCCCGAUAGAACAUUAUGCCUGGAAUGGUUUAUGUUCCAAAUGAUUUAUCGCCGUAGGAUGGGACUGCGGCCUAUCAGUUUGUUGGUGAGGUAAUGGCCCACCAAGACUAUUACAGGUACGGGCUCUGAGAGGAGUGGCCCGGAGAUGGGUACUGAGACACGGACCCAGGCCCUAUGGGGCGCAGCAGGCGAGAAAACUUUGCAAUGUGCGAAAGCACGACAAGGUUAAUCCGAGUGGUUUCUGCUAAAGGAACCUUUUGUCGGUCCUAGAAACACCGAUGAAUAAGGGGUGGGCAAGUUCUGGUGUCAGCCGCCGCGGUAAAACCAGCACCUCAAGUUGUCAGGAUGAUUAUUGGGCCUAAAGCAUCCGUAGCCGGCUCUGUUAGUUUUCGGUUAAAUCUGUACGCUUAACGUACAGGCUGCCGGGAAUACUGCAGAGCUAGGGAGUGGGAGAGGUAGACGGUACUCGUAGGAAGGGGUAAAAUCCCUUGGAUCUAUUGAUGACCACCUGUGGCGAAGGCGGUCUACCAGAACACGUCCGACGGUGAGGGAUGAAAGCUGGGGGAGCAAACCGGAUUAGAUACCCGGGUAGUCCCAGCUGUAAACUAUGCAAACUCAGUGAUGCAUUGGCUUGUGGCCAAUGCAGUGCUGCAGGGAAGCCGUUAAGUUU